rnacentral:rRNA from 1 species
CCCUUAGAUGUUCGGGGCCGCACGCGCGCUACACUGAAAGAAUCAGCGUGUGUCUACCCUGGUCCGGAAGGAUUGGGUAACCCGUUGAACCUCUUUCGUGCUAGGGAUUGGGGCUUGUAAUUAUUCCCCAUGAACGAGGAAUUCCUAGUAAACGCAAGUCAUCAGCUUGCAUUGAUUACGUCCCUGCCCUUUGUACACACCGCCCGUCGCACCUACCGAUUGGGUGAUCCGGUGAAUGACUCGGACUUUGACGUUCCUAGACACUAGGUUCGUCGAGGGAAGUUUUGUGAACCUUAUCACUUGGAGGAAGGAGAAGUCGUAACA